UCAAAGAGUAUGGUGAGGUAAAUUUUAUAAUUGUAAAAUUUUAUCCUAUUCAAAAUCUACAUAUGAGAAUCUUUUUUAACUCUCAAAACUGAUAAUUUUUUUUUUUCUAAAUGAGUACGGUAUUUAGUAGAAUCAAAAUAGUCUCACUUUAACCAUGACGUCAAUUCCACUAGUAUAAUAUUAACAUUAUCAUUCAUAUCAAAU
rnacentral:lncRNA from 1 species